UCGCGCGUCCCUCCGCGCUCCCGCCGGCGCCGCCCCGGCCGCCGCCCCGCCCGCGGCCUCGCCCUCCGCCGCCCCCUCAACCCCACAGCACCUCCGUGCCCGCCGGCCGCCAGCGCCGCGCUGAUCCCAGCGUGCCUGGAGCACUUGGGGAAACUGAGGCAGAGCGGAGCUGAGGACCAAACCCAGGGCCUCUACCGCUGAGCUAAAUCCCCAACCCCGACUUCUGAGUUCUGAGUCGAUUUGAAAGAUAUAAAAUGAUCUGGAGACCGUUAACAUUCUGGGAUUACAGCAAAACCUGACUGGCCUUUUUUUAAUGUACAGAGGGAACACAUUGAGGCCUGCAAUGAAGGUAUUUCCUGCUGAAGCCAAGCACUGUAGCUGCAACCCAAGCACAUGAGAAACAGAGGCAGAAUGAUCAACAAUUCAAGGCUUAAGGAUUGCUGAAGAAGAGAGGGCAGAGCAAGUGUGAGAAUUCAAGGCAGUGGAUGACUACAAGAAAAAUGUUGCCUCUGGAUGCAGCAGUGAAGCUGCACAAAUGAACUCACAGCAGUUGCAACAACAUGAAAAGAAAAAAAAAAUAAAUAGAAAGUAUGAAAGUCCAAGCCAGACCAAAUCCCAGCAUGGAGAUGGGAGGUGGGCAUCUCCUGGCUUUGGAGCUCCUGGCAGUUGUUAGCUGCUGGGAGGCAGAGAGUCUUCUUUAAAAGUGUAGCUCUGGUAAGUGGACCACUCUCCAGUGGAAGACCAUAUAUCCAAGAAUAUUUGGGCAAUACAAAUUGGUCUUGAUGUGUUUCAAAAAAUAAAAAAUAAAGGACACAAAGUCAAAAAGUUGGAAGAGUAGUGAAGUGGGUGGAUCUGGGAAGAGUUAGGCAUGGAGGAGUGACUAUGAUCAAAAUACACUGUAUAAAACCUAAAAAACUAAUAAAAAUUUUAAAAAUAAGAGGUAAUUGGGUAAGCCUAAAUAAAAGCUGUAUAUUAAAUGAUGUGUUCAGUAUCACUGAAUUAGGGUUGUUGCUGGUAGGGUUUUUUUUGGGGGGGGGAAAUGUGUGUGCCAAUACUAGGGAUUAAACCAAAUUUCCUACUAUUAAGCUCUACCUUCCCCUCCUUAAAACCUUUUAUUUUAAGAAGAA